GACGAACGCUGGCGGCGUGCUUAACACAUGCAAGUCGAACGGAAAGGCCUCUUUCGGGGGGUACUCGAGUGGCGAACGGGUGAGUAACACGUGAGUAACCUGCCCUUGACUUUGGGAUAACUUCAGGAAACUGGGGCUAAUACCGGAUAGGAGCUCCUGCUGCAUGGUGGGGGUUGGAAAGUUUCGGCGGUUGGGGAUGGACUCGCGGCUUAUCAGCUUGUUGGUGGGGUAGUGGCUUACCAAGGCUUUGACUGGUAGCCGGCCUGAGAGGGUGACCGGCCACAUUGGGACUGAGAUACGGCCCAGACUCCUACGGGAGGCAGCAGUGGGGAAUAUUGCACAAUGGGUGGAAGCCUGAUGCAGCAACGCCGUGUGCGGGAUGACGGCCUUCGGGUUGUAAACCGCUUUCGCUCAUGACGAAGCUUUGUGUGACGGUAGUGGGUAAAGAAGCACCGGCUAACUACGUG
rnacentral:rRNA from 1 species